AGUCGAGCGAACAGAUAAGGAGCUUGCUCCUUUGACGUUAGCGGCGGACGGGUGAGUAACACGUGGGUAACCUACCUAUAAGACUGGGAUAACUUCGGGAAACCGGAGCUAAUACCGGAUAACAUUUGGAACCGCAUGGUUCUAAAGUGAAAGAUGGUUUUGCUAUCACUUAUAGAUGGACCCGCGCCGUAUUAGCUAGUUGGUAAGGUAACGGCUUACCAAGGCGACGAUACGUAGCCGACCUGAGAGGGUGAUCGGCCACACUGGAACUGAGACACGGUCCAGACUCCUACGGGAGGCAGCAGUAGGGAAUCUUCCGCAAUGGGCGAAAGCCUGACGGAGCAACGCCGCGUGAGUGAUGAAGGGUUUCGGCUCGUAAAACUCUGUUAUUAGGGAAGAACAAAUGUGUAAGUAACUGUGCACGUCUUGACGGUACCUAAUCAGAAAGCCACGGCUAACUACGUGCCAGCAGCCGCGGUAAUACGUAGGUGGCAAGCGUUAUCCGGAAUUAUUGGGCGUAAAGCGCGCGUAGGCGGUUUCUUAAGUCUGAUGUGAAAGCCCACGGCUCAACCGUGGAGGGUCAUUGGAAACUGGGAAACUUGAGUGCAGAAGAGGAAAGUGGAAUUCCAUGUGUAGCGGUGAAAUGCGCAGAGAUAUGGAGGAACACCAGUGGCGAAGGCGACUUUCUGGUCUGUAACUGACGCUGAUGUGCGAAAGCGUGGGGAUCAAACAGGAUUAGAUACCCUGGUAGUCCACGCCGUAAACGAUGAGUGCUAAGUGUUAGGGGGUUUCCGCCCCUUAGUGCUGCAGCUAACGCAUUAAGCACUCCGCCUGGGGAGUACGACCGCAAGGUUGAAACUCAAAGGAAUUGACGGGGACCCGCACAAGCGGUGGAGCAUGUGGUUUAAUUCGAAGCAACGCGAAGAACCUUACCAAAUCUUGACAUCCUUUGAAAACUCUAGAGAUAGAGCCUUCCCCUUCGGGGGACAAAGUGACAGGUGGUGCAUGGUUGUCGUCAGCUCGUGUCGUGAGAUGUUGGGUUAAGUCCCGCAACGAGCGCAACCCUUAAGCUUAGUUGCCAUCAUUAAGUUGGGCACUCUAGGUUGACUGCCGGUGACAAACCGGAGGAAGGUGGGGAUGACGUCAAAUCAUCAUGCCCCUUAUGAUUUGGGCUACACACGUGCUACAAUGGACAAUACAAAGGGCAGCUAAACCGCGAGGUCAUGCAAAUCCCAUAAAGUUGUUCUCAGUUCGGAUUGUAGUCUGCAACUCGACUACAUGAAGCUGGAAUCGCUAGUAAUCGUAGAUCAGCAUGCUACGGUGAAUACGUUCCCGGGUCUUGUACACACCGCCCGUCACACCACGAGAGUUUGUAACACCCGAAGCCGGUGGAGUAACCAUUUAUGGAG
rnacentral:rRNA from 1 species